GACGAACGCUGGCGGCGUGCCUAAUACAUGCAAGUCGAGCGAAUCUUGAGGUGCUUGCACCUCUUGGUUAGCGGCGGACGGGUGAGUAACACGUGGGCAACCUGCCUGUAAGACUGGGAUAACACCGGGAAACCGGUGCUAAUACCGGAUAAUCCUUUUCCUCUCAUGAGGAGAAGCUGAAAGUCGGUUUACGCUGACACUUACAGAUGGGCCCGCGGCNCAUUAGCUAGUUGGUGAGGUAACGGCUCACCAAGGCAACGAUGCGUAGCCGACCUGAGAGGGU
rnacentral:rRNA from 1 species